AGUGAACGCUGGCGGUAGGCCUAACACAUGCAAGUCGAACGGCAGCACAGUAAGAGCUUGCUCUUACGGGUGGCGAGUGGCGGACGGGUGAGGAAUACAUCGGAAUCUACUUUUUCGUGGGGGAUAACGUAGGGAAACUUACGCUAAUACCGCAUACGACCUACGGGUGAAAGCAGGGGAUCUUCGGACCUUGCGCGAUUGAAUGAGCCGAUCUCGGAUUAGCUAGUUGGCGGGGUAAAGGCCCACCAAGGCGACGAUCCGUAGCUGGUCUGAGAGGAUGAUCAGCCACACUGGAACUGAGACACGGUCCAGACUCCUACGGGAGGCAGCAGUGGGGAAUAUUGGACAAUGGGCGCAAGCCUGAUCCAGCCAUACCGCGUGGGUGAAGAAGGCCUUCGGGUUGUAAAGCCCUUUUGUUGGGAAAGAAAAGCAGCAGGUUAAUACCCCGCUGUUCUGACGGUACCCAAAGAAUAAGCACCGGCUAACUUCGUG
rnacentral:rRNA from 1 species